UACGUAGGGUGCGAGCGUUGUCCGGAAUUAUUGGGCGUAAAGGGCUCGUAGGCGGUUUGUCGCGUCGGGAGUGAAAACACCGGGCUUAACUCGGUGCUUGCUUUCGAUACGGGCAGACUAGAGGUAUGCAGGGGGAGAACGGAAUUCCUGGGUGUAGCGGUGAAAAUGCGCAGAUAUCAGGAGGAACACCAAUGACGAAGGCAGCUCGCUGGGGACGGUACUGACGCUGAGGCGCGAAAGCGUGGGGAGCAAACAGG
rnacentral:rRNA from 1 species